rnacentral:rRNA from 1 species
AAUAGAUACCCGGGUAGUCCACGCCGUAAACGAUGGGUGCUAAGUGUUAGGGGGUUUCCGCCCCUUAGUGGCUGCAGCUAACGCAUUAAGCACUCCGCCUGGGGAGUACGGCCGCAAGGCUGAAACUCAAAGGAAUUGACGGGGGGCCCGCACAAGCGGUGGAGCAUGUGGUUUAAUUCGAAGCAACGCGAAGAACCUUACCAGGUCUUGACAUCCUCUGACAACUCUAGAGAUAGAGCGUUCCCCUUCGGGGGACAGAGUGACAGGUGGUGCAUGGUUGUCGUCAGCUCGUGUCGUGAGAUGUUGGGUUAAGUCCCGCAACGAGCGCAACCCUUGAUCUUAGUUGCCAGCAUUCAGUUGGGCACUCUAAGGUGACUGCCGGUGACAAACCGGAGGAAGGUGGGGAUGACGUCAAAUCAUCAUGCCCCUUAUGACCUGGGCUACACACGUGCUACAAUGGACGGUACAAAGAGUCGCAAGACCGCGAGGUGGAGCUAAUCCCAUAAAACCGUUCUCAGUUCGGAUUGCAGG